ACCCGCUGAACUUAAGCAUAUCAAUAAGCGGAGGAAAAGAAACCAACAGGGAUUGCCCUAGUAACGGCGAGUGAAGCGGCAACAGCUCAAAUUUGAAAUCUGGCCCUAGUGGUCCGAAUUGUAAUUUGUAGAGGAUGCUUUGGGCGCGGUGCCUUCCGAGUUCCUUGGAACAGGACGCCUUAGAGGGUGAGAGCCCCGUACGGUUGGACACCAAGCCUAUGUAAAGCUCCUUCGACGAGUCGAGUAGUUUGGGAAUGCUGCUCUAAAUGGGAGGUAAAUUUCUUCUAAAGCUAAAUACCGGCCAGAGACCGAUAGCGCACAAGUAGAGUGAUCGAAAGAUGAAAAGUACUUUGAAAAGAGGGUUAAAUAGCACGUGAAAUUGUUGAAAGGGAAGCAUUUAUGACCAGACCUUUGCUAGGUGGAUCAUCCGGUGUUCUUCACCGGUGCACUUCGCCUAGCUUAGGCCAGCAUCGAUUUCUGUAGGGGGAUAAAGGUCUAGGGAACGUAGCUCUCUUCGGAGAGUGUUAUAGCCCUGGGCGUAAUACCCUUACGGGGAUCGAGGUUCGCGCUUCGGCAAGGAUGCUGGCAUAAUGGUCAUCAAUGACCCGUCUUGAAACACGGACC
rnacentral:rRNA from 3 species